rnacentral:rRNA from 1 species
GACGAACGCUGGCGGCGUGCUUAACACAUGCAAGUCGAACGAAGUGGCGCACGGGUGAGUAACGCGUCAUCAACCUGCCCUUCAGAGGGGGACAACAGUUGGAAACGACUGCUAAUACCGCAUACUGCAGGAGUGGCUUGCGUCUGAUUAGCUAGGUGGAGGGGUAACGGCCCACCAAGGCGAUGAUCAGUAGCCGGUCUGAGAGGAUGAACGGACACAUUGGGACUGAGACACGGGCCAGACUCCUACGGGAGGCAGCAGUGGGGAAUCUUCCGCAAUGGACGAAAGGCUGACGGAGCAACGCCGCGGGAGUGAUGACGGCCUUCGGGUUGUAAAGCGCUGUUAAUCGGGACGCGGUACCGGAAUAGAAAGCCACGGCUAACUACGUGCCAGCAGCCGCGGUAAUUC